GUAAGCAGGGCUCUGCUUUGAGUCCACAAGUGUUGCUAAGCAAUAGAAACAGGGGGAGGGGGAGAGUGCAACAGAGUCUCUGACUUUAGGAGUAUAAGAAUCAAUGGAAGAGAAUACUGAUGCUCCUAUAUAGUCUCAUUUACAGCGUAUGUUAUAAGUAUGAAAUAUUUCCUAUCUACCUUCCUCACUGCUCGCAGCCUGCGAAAAUGUGAUUCUCUGUCUAACUCAAUGCACAUCCUGCAAGGACGAAGCAGUGUUGCAUCCUGGAGUACUGGCAAAAGCAGUGAGGCAUCAGAACUGUUCACAUCAGCCUCUUGACUAAAAAGGUGGGAAGUCGAGAACCUGCCCCAAAGACUAGGAGCUGGAGUGGGAGAGACCAUGCUUAACCCUGCUGUUGGAAGUCAGUGGGCAGGACAGGAAGUACAAAAGGCAGGCUGGAAAACUCAUUUAAAGCCCAGCCACCAGAGGAUCCUGACACCUUCUGUGAGUUCCCAAGCUGGGAGGCUACUACAGACCCAGAAGAACCUGAGGACUGGCUAGGACUAUUUACAGACCUGAAAAGGGAGAAGCUGCAAGCCCUGACAGAAUUCCUCAUCCCUGAUGGCCAGAACGAUCCUCUAUAGAACCAGGCACGGGAACCAUCCCUCUCACUGGACCAUGAGCCAUGAAGGAACAUCACAAUACAAAGGACUGGUGAAUUGCCCUGUGGCACAUUCAAAAUGCUACAUGCAAAGGACUUGUGGACUGGAAGGCAAAAUGUAGAAGAUUAAAAAGAGAGUCACAAGAAAAUUCUUCAUCUCUUUGUUGUCUGAGCUCUUAAAGACAGAGACACUAAACUGAAGCAGAGAUUGCCCAAGGGACCACCCUGAAAGACAUUUUAACCAGACAGAUUACCACAUUUGUCACCUGUAGGAACCACCGAUUGUAACAUAUUUGUGUGUGUACGUCGGCUUGCUUUAAUCUUUAAAUAACUCAUUUGUAUUUCCUAGUUAAUAAAUCUUUAAUUUAUUACAGGAUUGGCUACUGGUGUAAAUUCUAGAAUAGCAACUGAUCUGAAGUAAGUGACUAGUCUCUUGGAACUGGAAGCAACCUGAAUAUUUUGCAAUUUUUAGUAUAAAUUACCAUUUAUCAUUAAAUCCAGCUUUCCUGGUUAGCA